rnacentral:rRNA from 1 species
AUACGGAGGAUCCGAGCGUUAUCCGGAUUUAUUGGGUUUAAAGGGAGCGUAGGUGGACAGUUAAGUCAGUUGUGAAAGUUUGCGGCUCAACCGUAAAAUUGCAGUUGAUACUGGCUGUCUUGAGUACAGUAGAGGUGGGCGGAAUUCGUGGUGUAGCGGUGAAAUGCUUAGAUAUCACGAAGAACUCCGAUUGCGAAGGCAGCCUGCUGGACUGUAACUGGCGCUGAUGCUCGAAAGUGUGGGUAUCAAACAGGAUUAGAUACCCUGGUAGUCCACACAGUAAACGAUGAAUACUCGCUGUUUGCGAUAUACAGUAAGCGGCCAAGCGAAAGCGUUAAGUAUUCCACCUGGGGAGUACGCCGGCAACGGUGAAACUCAAAUGAAUUGACGGGG